UCAGUUAAAGAUAUUAGGAUAUUUGGGGUUAAGCAUCCUUAGGUUUGAAUAAUACUAGGGUGGGUGACCUUCCAGGAAGUCCAAAUUUAAGAGCU
rnacentral:rRNA from 1 species